AUAAGCUAACAACAAGCAAAACAUUUUCAUUUCUUUCCCUUUUUAGAAUGGAAAUCCCAAACUCCCUUUUAGCUAGUGCGGUUUACUCCCUUUUUCCGCACUAGUUUUUUU
rfam:Listeria monocytogenes EGD-e, complete genome